UAUGAAUGAAUUUUCUGAAAAUUUUUUUUUAUUUAUUCUAAAUUUAUAUUUUUGUUGAAAAUAACAAUAAUUUUUCUAAGACUAAAAGACCCUAAAAUUUUUAUAAUUUUAUAAUUAUUUGAUUGGGGAAAUAGUUAAUUGUUUAAAUAUUUUAAAAUAUUUUUAUAAAAGAACUUUUAUUAAAGAAACGUUUGUAAAAUACUCUAGGG
rnacentral:rRNA from 1 species